rnacentral:misc_RNA from 1 species
AAAGUCGUAACAAGGUUUCCGUAGGUGAACCUGCGGAAGGAUCAUUAUUGAAUAUUCUUGAUGGGUUGUAGCUGGCUCUCCGGGGCAUGUGCACACUUGUCUUGACUUUAUUCGUCCACCUGUGCACCUUUUGUAGUCUUGGGGGUUGAGAGCAGUCGACUAUCGGAUGGCUAUAUGGCCUUUUCGGACGUGAGGAAUGCUGAGUGUGAAAGCAUACAGCUCUUCUCAAAUGACUUGCAAAACCUCUCCCUCGAGUACUAUGUAUUCAUAUACCACAUAGUAUGUUGUAGAAUGUGAUCAAUGGGCCUACGUGCCUAUAAUAAUCAAAUACAACUUUCAGCAACGGAUCUCUUGGCUCUC